rnacentral:rRNA from 1 species
GUCUACUGCCAUGCUACCCUGAACAAACUUGAUCUCUUCUGAUCUCGGAAGCUAAGCAUGGUCUGUCCUGGUUAGUACUUGGAUGGGAGACCACCUAGGAAGACCAGGUGCUGUAGGCG